UACGUAGGGCGCAAGCGUUGUCCGGAAUUAUUGGGCGUAAAGAGCGUGUAGGCGGCCAGGUAGGUCUGCUGUGAAAACUCGAGGCUCAACCUCGAGACGUCGGCGGAAACCAUCUGGCUAGAGUCCGGAAGAGGAGAGUGGAAUUCCUGGUGUAGCGGUGAAAUGCGCAGAUAUCAGGAAGAACACCCGUGGCGAAAGCGGCUCUCUGGAACGGUACUGACGCUGAGGAGCGAAAGCGUGGGGAGCGAACAGG
rnacentral:rRNA from 1 species